CCUACGGGAGGCAGCAGUGGGGAAUUUUGGACAAUGGGCGCAAGCCUGAUCCAGCAAUGCCGCGUGAGUGAAGAAGGCCUUCGGGUUGUAAAGCUCUUUUGUCAGGGAAGAAACGGGUGCGGCUAAUAUCUGCAUCUAAUGACGGUACCUGAAGAAUAAGCACCGGCUAACUACGUGCCAGCAGCCGCGGUAAUACGUAGGGUGCAAGCGUUAAUCGGAAUUACUGGGCGUAAAGCGUGCGCAGGUGGUUUUGUAAGUCUGUCGUGAAAUCCCCGGGCUCAACCUGGGAAUGGCGAUGGAGACUGCAAGGCUAGAAUCUGGCAGAGGGGGGUUAGAAUUCCACGUGUAGCAGUGAAAUGCGUAGAGAUGUGGAGGAACACCGAUGGCGAAGGCAGCCCCCUGGGUCAAGAUUGACGCUCAUGCACGAAAGCGUGGGGAGCAAACAGGAUUAGAUACCCUGGUAGUCCACGCCCUAAACGAUGUCUACUAGUUGUCGGGUCUUAAUUGACUUGGUAACGCAGCUAACGCGUGAAGUAGACCGCCUGGGGAGUACGGUCGCAAGNUUAAAACGUCAAAUGAAUUGACGG
rnacentral:rRNA from 1 species